rnacentral:rRNA from 1 species
GCUCAGGAUGAACGCUAGCUACAGGCUUAACACAUGCAAGUCGAGGGGCAGCAUGAUUCCAGCUUGCUGGAAUUGAUGGCGACCGGCGCACGGGUGAGUAACGCGUAUCCAACCUACCGUAUACUCAGGGAUAGCCUUCCGAAAGGGAGAUUAACACCUGAUAGUAUCUAAAGACUCAUAGUCUUAAGAUUAAAUGUAAAGGUAUAUGAUGGGGAUGCGUUCCAUUAGAUAGUAGGCGGGGUAACGGCCCACCUAGUCGACGAUGGAUAGGGGUUCUGAGAGGAAGGUCCCCCACAUUGGAACUGAGACACGGUCCAAACUCCUACGGGAGGCAGCAGUGAGGAAUAUUGGUCAAUGGAUGAGAAUCUGAACCAGCCAA